GAUGAAGAACGCAGCGAAAUGCGAUAAGUAAUGUGAAUUGCAGAAUUCAGUGAAUCAUCGAAUCUUUGAACGCACAUUGCGCCCCCUGGUAUUCCGGGGGGCAUGCCUGUUCGAGCGUCAUUUCACCACUCAAGCCUCGCUUGGUAUUGGGCAACGCGGUCCGCCGCGUGCCUCAAAUCGACCGGCUGGGUCUUCUGUCCCCUAAGCGUUGUGGAAACUAUUCGCUAAAGGGUGUUCGGGAGGCUACGCCGUAAAACAACCCCAUUUCUAAGGUUGACCUCGGAUCAUGUAGGGAUACCCGCUGAACUUAAGCAUAUCAAUAAGCGGAGGA
rnacentral:misc_RNA from 1 species